GUACUGAUGAAGAGUCCCAAACAAGGACGAAACGGCCGUCCAGUAC
rfam:Trichobilharzia regenti genome assembly, scaffold: TRE_scaffold0022170